GCCAGUGAUGAAAGUCUGGAAUAGGAAGUGCCGUCUGAUGCGAUAAAUGACGAUGUUUCUAAUCCACUGUUC